CCGUGGCGUGGCCUCCGUUCUAAUUCUCCGAAGGCAGAGGCCACAGGUUCGAAUCCUGUCGGGUGCGCCA
rnacentral:tRNA from 1 species